UUGCCUACGGGGGGCAGCAGUGGGGAAUAUUGCACAAUGGGGGAAACCCUGAUGCAGCGACGCCGCGUGAGUGAAGAAGUAUCUCGGUACGUAAAGCUCUAUCAGCAGGGAAGAAAAAAAGUCUUUGGCUUUGGACGGUACCUGACUAAGAAGCCCCGGCUAACUACGUGCCAGCAGCCGCGGUAAUACGGAGGAUGCGAGCGUUAUCCGGAUUUAUUGGGUUUAAAGGGUGCGCAGGCGGUCUGUUAAGUCAGCGGUCAAAGCCCGGGGCUCAACCCCGGCCCGCCGUUGAAACUAGCG
rnacentral:rRNA from 1 species